rnacentral:misc_RNA from 1 species
UUUAUUAUCUUAAGUAUCUCAAGUAUAUAAGCUAACUCGCAUAACGUGGUUAACCGACUAGGGAGUGAUUCUACGUGGAAAAAUAAGUCGAAAAUGUGGAAUAACGUUUCUUUUGUUCCAGGCUUUGUUCUACCGAAAAUUGAGUUUUCGCGUAAUGUAAAUUUUGAAACAUUUCCCAACAAAGUUUUUUUCUGUGUUGAAUAUGAUCGGAGACUUGUGUAAUAGGUGGCCCAACUAGCAGAAUGAAUUUAAACCUCUUACGUAGACCAAGGAGAGGCAAGUUCGCGUAAUUAACGAGUAGAAAAGUACGUUGGACGCAAACAAGUCGGAAGUGAAAGUAACAAAGGGGAAACACGUGGGCGUGAUCGAGUAACGCGUAGAGAUCGUUGUCGGGGGUUCCAGUUGGGUGCUUUGCUAAGUUGGACAGCGUCCGUCCGAUGGGAAUCGACGGCGGCCAUCGGGAAUCACUUUGGUAAUCGACUAGCCUGGAAAUUUCCAUGCGGCCCACCAGAAUGUCCAGAGUUGCAUGAAUAUUCCAGCGAUUCGCGGCAAACAUCAAACUUCAAUUACUGGCUCAUUAAAACAUGCAACGAUCUUUUUCCAACGGGAUCGAACUUCAGACUGUCGGGACGAGUAUAGAGCCCUCAAAGAAAACCAGAG